GACGAACGCUGGCGGCGUGCUUAACACAUGCAAGUCGAACGAUGAACCCGGAGCUUGCUCUGGGGGAUUAGUGGCGAACGGGUGAGUAACACGUGAGUAACCUGCCCUGGACUCUGGGAUAAGCGUUGGAAACGACGUUUAAUACCGGAUAGGACCUUGGAUCGCAUGAUCUGGGGUGGAAAGUUUUUUCGGUCUGGGAUGGACUCGCGGCCUAUCAGCUUGUUGGUGAGGUAAUGGCUCACCAAGGCGUCGACGGGUAGCCGGCCUGAGAGGGUGACCGGCCACACUGGGACUGAGACACGGCCCAGACUCCUACGGGAGGCAGCAGUGGGGAAUAUUGCACAAUGGGCGAAAGCCUGAUGCAGCAACGCCGCGUGCGGGAUGACGGCCUUCGGGUUGUAAACCGCUUUUAGUAGGGAAGAAGGGCUUCGGCUUGACGGUACCUGCAGAAAAAGGACCGGCUAACUACGUG
rnacentral:rRNA from 1 species